rnacentral:rRNA from 1 species
UGCCAGCCGCCGCGGUAAUACGGAGGGGGCUAGCGUUGUUCGGAAUUACUGGGCGUAAAGCGCGCGUAGGUGGAUUGGUCAGUUGGGGGUGAAAUCCCGGGGCUCAACCCCGGAACUGCCUCCAAAACUAUCAGUCUAGAGUUCGAGAGAGGUGAGUGGAACUCCGAGUGUAGAGGUGAAAUUCGUAGAUAUUCGGAAGAACACCAGUGGCGAAGGCGGCUCACUGGCUCGAUACUGACGCCGAGGUGCGAAAGCCAGGGGAGCGAAUGGGAUUAGAUA